GGGGUGCUGAGGCUUUGGUGAGAUGAGGUGAAGGUAAGUCUCUGGUUAAUUCCUGGUAUAUGGAAUGAGCUGCCAGACAAGUGAUUGAGGCAGGUACAUCAUCAACAUUUAAAAGCCUUGUGGAGAAGAGGAAAGAACUAUCCACCUGUG